UUCGAUCUAUCACCUGCUCUCAAUAGUAAAUGUUGAGUAUACAAUUCAAAAACAAGUUUCCUUUGGGGAACAUCAACGAUAACUUUCAUAACAGAAUCUUGUUUGGGAACACCUAGACGAAUUAGUAAAAAGUUACUCAGCAAAGAUAUUUUUCAAAAUACAAUGUUUUGAAAAUGGUACUUACGAACAACCCUGUUUUCUUUAGUAAUUAAAGAGAGCAUAUGUUUACUUUCGUGGAUACAAAUACCUUCAAGUCCGACUCGCGUAGUACUUUUACUCCGAAGAACUUGCAUAUAUGCACCUUGAUAUUCUGCUUUUGCUAAUUUGGCCAUUAAAGAUUCACCUGUGCAUCCUGCUAUCACUUCUAAUAUGUAAGAGCACCACAUGGAAUGUAAAUGUUUGAAUUGGCUAUAGUCAGCAAUCUUUGGAACAACAUUUAAUUGCAGCUUUUUUUUCUCCUUUGAAGACAACUUUUUCCUUUUCUUUGAAGCAACCGACUCUUUUCGAUCUCCUUGUUUUUCUAAGUUUAGAGAAGGGACAAGUAAAAGCGGUUUGAAAGCAAUUUUUUCGUUUAUAACAUUUUUUGCCUCUUCAGGUGUUAGGAUUUUUGUUUGAAAUACCAGGGAUUCGGGUGUCACUUUAGAAGUUGAAUUGACAGUUUUCAACGAAGAGUAUAGUGGAUCAGCCAUUCAGUACAAAUGGAUUGUCUUUUGAACGUAAAGGUAAUAAUAAUUAAAGGAAUAGCAAGUUAUAUCUGUUGUAUUAUUUUACGAAAAUUGCUCCAUUUGGCAAGUCUAGAUAUUUGGUGGUAAAGGUAAUAUGUGAGACUUUUUUUAUACUUUUGUACAGCAAGAUACUACUUCCAAAGUAAUAAUACAAUUUGGCCCCCGUUUGAGAACUUUUACCCCACUAGAGACUAAAGAUAUAUACCAUCAAGGUCAUAUACACUUUGCAAAAUUACAAAACAUCGUUAGACUGCGAUAAGCAUUUUCUGUACUCAGUACAUUCUCUUAAGUAGAUGAUAUGAAUAAACAAGUGUAGAUUAGUCACAAAAACAAGUUUAUUUAAUAGACA